AGCAAGCAGACAGGUGACACGCUCGGGCCAGGACGGCAGUUACUGGUCCGUCAGAACGAUGGGAGAGGGACGGCUUUGGUGAGAUGCUGGAGACCCUUGGGCAGCCUGUGGUCACAGGGGGAUGCUGCGCGGUUUAUUCCUUCUCUUACUAAAGCCAGACACACACGACAAUGAGACCAGACCACGGCACACUCCUGGCUGCUCUCCCCUUGAGAACUCAGCUGGAAGGAAGAACUGCCAAUGCUCUACAGGACAGCAGGACACACUGACAGUGAUGGAAUGAAGCCAUGGCACACUCCUGGCCUCUCUCCUGUUGAGAAGUCAGCUGGAAAAGGACAGUGACACGCUCAGGCCAGGACAGCAGUGACCGCUCCAUCAGGACGACGGGACACAGACAGCCUCGCCAGAAACACACAGUGAUGGGACCAGACCACGGCACAAUCCUGGCCUCACUUCUCUUGACCACUCAGCUGGAAGGAAGAGCUGCCAACGCUCUACAGGACAGCCAGACACACAUGACAAUGAGACCAGAUCAUGGCACACUCCUGGCUGCUCUCCCCUUGAGAACUCAGCUGGAAGGAAGAACUGCCAACGCUCUACAGGACAGAUAAGACAGCCCCAACCCAUUCCCCACCAUGGUCUCACACCAUACCAGAAGAUGACACGGUUGGGUUAUGAUGGGCAUCUCCUGGCCACCAGGGAGACCUCAGAGCAGAGCAAGCCACUGAAGGAGAAGAAAGCACACAAGGACCCCGCCUCUACCCUGCCAUGGUCCUACAAGCAGACCAACGGGCUCCGCGCCUUUGGACAUUGAGAGCUCGGCACGCCUCUCCGCCAACUCACCCCACCCCACGUCUCUCUCAAACGUUGCUUAAAUAAAGGUUCUGAUUCACAACCUCA
rnacentral:lncRNA from 1 species